UACGUAGGGGGCUAGCGUUAUCCGGAAUUACUGGGCGUAAAGGGUGCGUAGGUGGUUUCUUAAGUCAGAGGUGAAAGGCUACGGCUCAACCGUAGUAAGCCUUUGAAACUGGGAAACUUGAGUGCAGGAGAGGAGAGUGGAAUUCCUAGUGUAGCGGUGAAAUGCGUAGAUAUUAGGAGGAACACCAGUUGCGAAGGCGGCUCUCUGGACUGUAAUUGACACUGAGGCACGAAAGCGUGGGGAGCAAACAGGAUUAGAUACCCGGGUAGUCCCUGAGCGGG
rnacentral:rRNA from 1 species